CCUACGGGGGGCUGCAGUGGGGAAUAUUGGACAAUGGGGGCAACCCUGAUCCAGCCAUGCCGCGUGUGUGAAGAAGGCCCUCGGGUUGUAAAGCACUUUCAGUGAGGAAGAACGCCUGGUGGUUAAUACCCAUCAGGAAAGACAUCACUCACAGAAGAAGCACCGGCUAACUCCGUGCCAGCAGCCGCGGUAAUACGGAGGGUGCGAGCGUUAAUCGGAAUUACUGGGCGUAAAGCGCGCGUAGGUGGCUUGAUAAGCCGGUUGUGAAAGCCCCGGGCUCAACCUGGGAACGGCAUCCGGAACUGUCAAGCUAGAGUGCAGGAGAGGAAGGUAGAAUUACCGGUGUAGCGGUGAAAUGCGUAGAGAUCGGGAGGAAUACCAGUGGCGAAGGCGGCCUUCUGGACUGACACUGACACUGAGGUGCGAAAGCGUGGGUAGCAAACAGGAUUAGAUACCCUAGUAGUC
rnacentral:rRNA from 1 species